rnacentral:rRNA from 1 species
GUCCAUGCCGUAAACGAUGUCUACUAGCCGUUGGUCUCUUUGAGGGAUUAGUGGCGCAGCUAACGCGAUAAGUAGACCGCCUGGGGAGUACGGUCGCAAGACUAAAACUCAAAUGAAUUGACGGGGGCCCGCACAAGCGGUGGAGCAUGUGGUUUAAUUCGAUGCAACGCGAAGAACCUUACCUGGUCUUGACAUAGUAAGAACUUUUCCAGAGAUGGAUUGGUGCCUUCGGGAACUUACAUACAGGUGCUGCAUGGCUGUCGU